CCCUUAGAUGUUCUGGGCCGCACGCGUGCUACACUGAGUGGAUCAGCGGGUCAGGUUGCGCGAAAGCGUUUCCUAAUCUUUAAAUCCGCUCGUGAUGGGGAUUGACGGUUGCAAUUUUCCGUCAUGAACGAGGAAUACCUUGUAAGCGCGGGUCAUCAUCCCGCGCUGAAUACGUCCCUGCCCUUUGUACACACCGCCCGUCGCUCCUACCGAUUGAGUGGUCCGGUGAGGCUUUGGGAUCUGAGCGGAAAGAGCGUUUCGCUGUUUCUGCUCGGAAAACUCAGUCGAACCUCAUCAUUUAGAGGAAGGAGAAGUCGUAACA
rnacentral:rRNA from 1 species